rnacentral:ncRNA from 1 species
GAUUGCGGUUCCAUGCUUGCCAUGGAUGAAAAGGGAACCCGGUGAGAAUCCGGGACAGCUCACUCUACUGUAAGGGCUACGGAAUGCGGAAAGGUCACUGCGAAAGCGGGAAGGCACGCAGAGUAGGUUUGAAGCUCUAAGUCAGGAGACCUGCCGGGAUCA